UCAGGCAAGAAUGGAAGACUUUCUACUCAUUUGCCCUUGCUCUGGGUAUAUUAGAGGCCCUAUGCACCUGGGGUGAUGGGUGGCAAUUGUUAUGACAUCAUACUGGUUUUGAGCUAGCUACUCUGUCUCUCCCUCAGGGAGAAAUUUCCAGUAUGUUCCAGCAGCUGAAUUAGUCCAAUGGCCUGUGGAGAGCUCCUGUAAAUUAUGGCAAAAUUUAGCUGCUGACAUCAUCGUUCACCAUUUUUUUUUCUCCUCAAGACACCAGUCUGUGAAGUAUAUUCUGAUGAGAAUAUGGCACGCUGGCCCAGUUCUUCUCUCUUCCAGAUGCAUCAUUUGCCCAGAUUCCUUUGACAACAAUGAGCUGUGGGACAUACUUGGCUUACCUCCUAAAGUAAGAGUCAAGGUCAUCCUCUGAAAUGGAUUUUCUUGCAAAAUGGAAAUUGGAAGGGGUGACUCCUGCGUCAUUUCUCAGCAUCUCAGCAACACCAGAGGGGAUAGGAGGUCCUUCACUCUUCUCCAGUCAAGCCAGGGUCCUUUGCACCUCCAAAUAUGUUUGCCAAUCAGCUUGGAAAUUUCUAUAAGAAGUCUGCUGGGAUUUUGAUUGAGAUUGCAAUGAAUCUGUAGAAUAACUUGAGGAGAUACAACAUCUUCAACAAGAUUGAAUCUUCUGAUGCACAAACAUGGUGUAUUUACCCAUUUAUUUAGGUCUUCUUUAAUUUCUCUCUGUAAUGUUUUGUAGUUUCCAAUAUAAAGAUAUUGCAUACAUUUAAUCAAAUUUAUUCCUAAGUGUUUUUAUUUUUAAUGUUAUAAACAUAACUGUUUUUUUUUCUCAAUUUCAUUUUCUGAAAUGAAAUUUUGUUGUUAGUAUAUAGCGAUGGAAUUGAUUUUUGUAUGCUGACCUUGAUGCCUGCGGCCUUACUAAAUUCGCCUACUAGUUCUAGGAGCAUUUAUGUGGAUUCUUUGAGGUAUUAAAGAUUCAUGGUUUGAUUAUCCAAAAAUAUAGAUGGUUGAUUUCCUCCUUUCCAAACUGCAUGUCUUUGCUUACUUUUCUUGCCUAUUGCAUUAGGAUCUCUAGUAAAUGAUAGAAUAGAAGUAGAGGUGCCGACUAAGGUGUCGACUAAGACUAAGGCCUAUCUCGAAAUAGGCAGACAAUUGCUUUAUUUGCUGUCAUACUGAGGAGACAAUAUAUCAGAUGGCUCUGAUAGAACUGCUUCCGAAGCUUAUCAGUUUACCAGUGAUUAUAUGAAGAAAGGGAAAGGAGUGUACGUGCUUGCAAGCAGUUCUCCAGGAUGUCAUUGCACAUCACAAGGUAUAAUUUAUUUGGUUGUAAAAAUUAAGGCUUACUGAUUUCCAUGUAGACAUAUGAAAUACCCUUAGGUCACCUAAAUACAUUGUGUCUAUCAUAUCUGAUUAUUUAAAAAUAUUUCCUGCAUGCCUCCAUUCAACUGGUUUUCUGGUUCGUUUUUUGGUUUCUCCUUGAGGUCAUUUGAGAGGGUCACAGGAGGCUAACAUCAGCCACCUACUGUAGUGUGUGGG